GACGAACGCUGGCGGCGUGCUUAACACAUGCAAGUCGAACGGAAAGGCCCUGCUUUUGUGGGGUGCUCGAGUGGCGAACGGGUGAGUAACACGUGAGUAACCUGCCCUUGACUUUGGGAUAACUUCAGGAAACUGGGGCUAAUACCGGAUAGGAGCUCCUGCUGCAUGGUGGGGGUUGGAAAGUUUCGGCGGUUGGGGAUGGACUCGCGGCUUAUCAGCUUGUUGGUGGGGUAGUGGCUUACCAAGGCUUUGACGGGUAGCCGGCCUGAGAGGGUGACCGGCCACAUUGGGACUGAGAUACGGCCCAGACUCCUACGGGAGGCAGCAGUGGGGAAUACUGCACAAUGGGCGGAAGCCUGAUGCAGCAACGCCGCGUGCGGGAUGACGGCCUUCGGGUUGCAAACCGCUUUCGCCUGUGACGAAGCGUGAGUGACGGUAAUGGGUAAAGAAGCACCGGCUAACUACGUG
rnacentral:rRNA from 1 species